rnacentral:lncRNA from 1 species
AAUUGCCGGCUGCAGGUUAUUGGCUGGCUGUGCUGCCGCGGAGGCUGCUGCUGUUCCAGUGCCGGAGGAUGCUGCAGAAGAAGAGAGAGCAGCGAGCAGAGCGCUGCAGAUCUGUCUGCUGAUUCCUGAUCCGUCGCCAGCUCGUCUCACCGUCCCAUCACACAUCUGUGAAGAGCCAGCGCUGCUCAAACACUGGAUCUGAGUCAUUAUUCUGAAGAAGGGAAGGAAAGCAGAGGAGGAGGAGGAGGAGGAGGGACGCCGGUGAGGAAGCUUUGCCCAGACAAGGAUCACCUUCUGCUGUGGGAGGAGGAGGCAGAUUCCCCUGGAGAAAUCAAGGAGUGGAUGGUUCCUAAAACAUCUGGAAACGUGCAACUUGGGGAUCUUUGGAAGAUAUUUAAAAUCACAUCAGCUGAUUUAUUUUACCAGCAGCAACAGGAAGGCGGACAGGAGCGAAACUAAGCCGGAUUUAACCUUUGUGGAGAAAUGCCGGAGCAGCAGAGGACAUCGAGGGAUGAAGAGCGAGAGAGAGAGAAAAGGCCGACGCUCCGAGGAUCUAGUUCUUCUUAGAAAACAAGAAGAUCUGCCACUCCUGGGAGAGGAGCAGGAGGGUUUGUGGGAUUUACAUGGAGUGUAAAGUGAGCUUCAUCGCAGACGCAGAGCGACUGUUUCACGCUGAAAUCUUCUGAAUCGUCUUCACCGCUCUGGAUUAUCCGUCCUGAAGGAGGAGUUUGGAGAUUGAAGAGUUUGGGAAUUAAAUUAUUUUCUGUUGAGCAAAAGAUGUAAAGACACUUGGAAUUCAAUGUGAGAGCCACAAACACAUUCAUUGAAUUGAUAGAGUUUGAGGAGAUAUUUCCUCAGGAAACCGGUGUGUUGUUGCCAAAUUCACUAUUUUUGAGUCUUUACUGGCCAACAAGAUAUUCUAUGAUAGAAGAAGAGACCAUCUGCAAGUCAAGCAGACCAGAAACUUCCAUCGUGAGUCAAAUAUGAUCCAUCCGGCUGCAAGGAAACCUCUCUUAUUUUACAUUUAAACUCUUCAUUUGUUCCCUCUUUAACCUUUCUGUUUCUCUUCACCUUCUUUUCUAGUCUUUCUUUGGAAACAUUUGUUUUUCUCUGCGUGCACCUUUUUAUAUUUCGCCCCUUUUCCCAUUCGCGUGGCGUCUGAAGCAGGUGAUGACAGAUAACAGCUGCAGAGAGUCUAAUAAAAGCAGAUAAGUCAUGUUCAGUGACAGCAGCAGCAGGUAAUACAGUGAGCACAGGCUGCAUGUGCUGCUGUCACCUUUCUGCAGGAGAAUUCCAUCUCAAGGAGCGUCUGUGGCUCAUAAAACCAGAGGGGGGACCCUGUACUCUGCAAAGCCUCAACCUCACUUAUAAGAAGGGAAUCAGUGACUAAACAGCAGUGAUUUACACCUUUCACAUGUUUUAUAUCUUAGUGUCUCUGUGGAGCGACAGUAAAUGCACGACAUCAAAAUAUCAGAUAAACGUGGAGCUCAGAGAUUUAUCUGAUAAGCAACAAGAAAUACGUCUGAGUUUAUGAUCAAAUAGCAACACGUGAGUGCUUUCAAAUGUAAAAACACACGAGAGGCCAGAUGAACAGCUUUUAGAUAAGAAGGGAAAAGUAGUAAAGACAUGCUGGAGCGGGGGCGGUAGAACAAAACCCACGUCUUUACACAUUUGGAUGGAAAAGACAUCAAGUCAACAUAGAAGAGCAGAAACAACACGUUUCCUGCACAAAACCUCUUUUUAAAAUCCUGUGGUGACAACUCAAAGACGAAGGACACACAGACACGUGAUCAAUGCACAGACUGAGAGCAGAUUCUCAAAGCACAAACACCACAUGGACUAAAGAUCUCACUCGUGUCCUGUUCUCUAAACACAAAUAGAGUUUUGUCCUAAAGACGGAACAUUUAGGUGCUAACAAAAUACAAAGAAUUGACGAAAACACAAAGCACAAAUGGAAAACUCCAGCCGCUCAGAGUUUAAUCGAUGAGCAGGUUAGUUAGGAAAUGUCUUUCUAAGCACAAAUGAUGACAGAAUACAGUUUUAAACUAAUGUGUUCAGUUCAGGAAACACAAGCUGAGUUCAGAUUAUAAAAAGCUUUUUACUUUUGUAUGAUUUUCUAUUAUUUUCAAAAGACACUUUUUCUACCACUUCAAAGCACAAACAAACAAUAAUAAUCGAGCCCUCAAACGCACCAUCAGUACACGACACUGUUCACACUGGUGCCAGAAACAAAGACGAGAUCAGGAUCUUAAAAGAAGAGCGUGUUUGUAUCUGAGCUGCUGCUUUCAGAUGAUCCAUUCACAGCGUGUCCUCUCCCUGCUCGGAGUCACUAUUGAAGAUUAGUUACUAAUAUUUAAUAUUUCAGAUCUUAAUCAGCUGUUUAUCUGCUGGAGAAAGGAAGUUGUUUUUCUUCUUCAUGUCUUUUUAAUCGUCACUGGCCUCGUUUCCACUGUGGCUUCAAACAAACCACAGGAGACAGAAAACUAAACAUUUGGCUGAAGAUAUUUAACGUUGAAGUGUUUUGUAAAGAUAAGUGAGACGUUACAGCUUUUACUUAAGAAUAAAGUUGUUGUAUAAGAGGAGGUGUUACUCUGAUCCAGACUGAGGAGAUCUCAGCAGUCAGGGAAAUUAAAGAAUAUAUUUCUUUUUGUCAUUUUCCUUGCAGUUUGCAGGAAGAUGCUACUCAAAUAGAAAUAAUACACAUAGAAUCCAUAUAAAACAUGAUUUAUUUUGUAUCUGUGACUUAGUAAGUGUCACUUUUAUUGGAAACAUUUUUACAGUUUCCUUUUAUUCAUCUUCUCUUCCACCUUCGGCCGUUCGAGCUGCAGGAAGUCGUUUGUCAUUUUGAAAAGCACCAACAUUAAUGUGUUUUAUCCAUCACAAGCUUUCAUCUUUUUUUUAAUACUUUUCUUUGUCCAAACUUCCAACAAACUGUUCGACGCCUCAUAACGUCGUUUUUUUUGUGUGACAGUCAGCCCCACUGGUAGGACUAUGUACACACACAACACACACACACACUCACACACAUACACAAAGGACCAACGGUCAGCGUGAAACAGUGUGAAGGUUAAACUUCAUCAAACACACAAAGUGGCACAUUGAGGAAGCACACACGCCUUCAGAGACUCCAGAGACUCCAGAGACUCCAGGAGCCUUCAAACUCAAACCAACUGAAUACUUUCUACAUUUCAACAGAUUGAAGCACAAACUGAAGAGCUGUUGCCUCUUCGUCCCCCUCCCCCUCUUCGUCCCCUGCAGGGCUGAAACAAUCUGCGACGCAUGAAUGAAAAUUAAUUUUUCCCCAUGAUGAGAAGACACAGUGUCUCGCCUCCUCGCCGCCCGCGGGACGGCAGAUAAAAGGUGUUUACUGUGAGCAGCCGUCUUCUUUAGGAAAGAAACAGCAACAAGAAGAAGCUGAAAAGUGUCCUCGUCCCUUUGUUGUCUGUUUCAUCUUUGCUUUGCCUGCGAUGCAAAAUACUAACAAACACAGAGGUGGGUUCAGCUUUCAUCUUCAGAGGAGACGAGACAACAGGAAGUGAGCUCAGCUCAGCGGGGGGGUUAUCAGAAGUGACACUUUUCUAAACAGAGACAUAAGUUUGACUCAUAAAGGAUAUUUAAUACACUUCAUGAAGCACAUUUGGGAUUAUCAUUAUUUUUGACAGAACUCAACCUUUGUGCAUUUUUGCAGAAAAGCUACGCAGAUAAUCAGCAGAAGACGUUUGGAUCUGCCCGGAGCUUCUUUACGGGAAGCUUGGACCGAUUUCUCGGAGGAUUUAUGGCCAAUGUUUAGAAAGUACAAGCAUGACUCCUUCUACAUGAAGGAUCUUUAUCAGCGGGGAUAUCAAAUGUCAUCGACACGAUGAUUGUCUGAAAUCUGUUUAUCUAAGCUUUGAAAAAGGGAACGAACGAAGGAGACGA